ensembl:lincRNA
AUGGCAAAUUUUGCCCAGAGGAAAGUGCUCCUUCCUGAGGCUGUAGGACACUUUGUGAUCAAGGAGCUGAGUGGCCAUACUCACCUGGGAAAGACAGCUAUGGUCCAACUGCUUGGCCGUCACUUCUCUAUCUCUAGACUCUGGACUCUGUGUGCAUCUGUGGCGGGCAGAUGCACAGUUUGUGCUCACAACAGUCCAGUUUCUCAUCCACAGAAACUGCCUGGAGUCUGCAGACAAGGACCACUGCCUUUUGAGGACACUGAGAUUGUGCUCCGUGGAUUUACUACUCUCAAGUCAAGAAGUGAGUACCCGAACUCCCUGAGAGACCAACUUUGCCAGCCCCGUUGCUGGCUCCUGAGGUGGUGCCCUCCUUGCCCCCACCACAAUGUCACCUGCCACAUCACUCUCAAAGACUGCAAUGAAAAUCAGCUGCAACCUGAUCUGACAAUGACCCAUCUGACUGUCCUGGUCCCAUAUUCCUGCUAUGGACAACUCUGAUGGGAGCAAAGUAACAGAUAAAGACUCUUGAUGGACUAGGGGAGCACCUUUGUAAUUACAUUAUGCACCCCCAAGUGGACUCUAUUUACCUUUGGUGAGCUGAGCUGGCCACACUGCAUCUCCUGUGUGACCAGCAAGAUGUUGUAUUCAUAAUCCCCAUAUGUAAGUUUUAGAACCCCCACCAGUGGCAAGACAAAGCCAAUCCUGAGACUCACCCUUUCCCCAUAUGUGAGGUCCAGAAAAGGCAAUUAACAGGGACCACGCUGACACAGACUUAAUUACUUGGGGUCUCUACAUGUGCCCAAAGACAGAGGAAGAUGUGGAAGGGAAAGGGAAGUGUACUGUCUCCACUGGAGUUGCAAAACCAUAGGGCUAUGGCAAAGGCAAUAUGAUGGACAUACAGUCCAAGUUAGUCCCAGAUCAUCAGUCCAUGUUAGUACUAAUGAUCCAAAUCCCCUAACUCAUUGGUGGGUCCAGGAUGAGAAGUACAUCCAGGUAUACAGAGAAAAGAGGGCUAACUACAGUAUAGGCUAUUCAUCUGGGUUCUGUUUACAAGUCAGGAUAAUUCUAAAGGAUAUUAAGGGAGUGCUUCAGAGCAUAUUAAGGGAGAUAUUAAGGGAGCUGCUGGACUCGUGGGUUUGAGUCUGUGCUCGGCCCACACCGCCAUGGUUCCCAGCGUGGAGAGAGCCAGGUAUUUCCCAGCUACUCCCUGAGGGCAGAACACGUGAAUCAGGACCCCGCCGACAUUACAGACGGAGUCCUGGCUUCCCUGCUCCCGUGGCAGAGAGGAGGGUUUUACUCAGAAGCCCCAGGGACUUCUCUGGCUAUGGGUGGGGCAAACAGACUCUCAGCCCCUUGCGAGCUGCACCGAGAGAGCGAGUGUUCCGGGAGCUGCUGGACUCGUGGGUUUGAGUCUAUGCUUGCCCCACACUGCCACGGUUCCCAGCUGAAACACGCGGAGAGAGCCAUGUAUUUCCCAGCUACUCCCUGAGGGCAGAACACGUGAAUCAGGACCCCGCCAACAUUACAGAUGGAGCCCUGGCCUCCCUGCUCCCACGGCAGAGAGGAGGUGUUCACUCAG